UUGAACUGAGGCCCUCUGGAAGAGCAGCCAGUGUUUUAAACCACUGAGUUAUCUCUCUAGCUAACUACUAUUAUAUCAGGACUUAGUCCUAAUAUUUCAUUUUAAUUUCCAUUUUCUGUACUUAUAUAACUCAGUUGGUAGAAUGUCUGUAUAUCAUGUAUAAAAUCCUGCAUCUAGUCCCUAGCACUGCAAAUUCUGGUGGUGGUCCAGACCUGUGAUCCUAGCAGCUUGCUUGCCAGCUACAGGAGGUAAAGGCGCACACAUACACACGAGGACACACACACUGUAAUUUCUGUCUUGUCAUUUGUAUCUUGGUCAUGAUCUCAUCUACAUGCUUAAGUCUCAUGUUGUGAGGAACCCCACCAAAAGGCUCUUGCCAGUAUAGCCCUAUGAAUGGGCCCUAAUGGAAGUGAAGCUGACAACUCAACUGAAACCUCAGGAACAAUCCUGGGACAAUGCCACCCAACUAAGCUACUUCCAGAUUCCCAACCCUUGGAAACUGCAGGACAGAUAAAUCCUUGUUGUUUUGAGCUGCUAAGUAUGAAAGUAACUUGUUAUACUGUCAUAUAUAGCUGAUACUUCCGGUCUACUUUUCCCUGCCACUAGUUUCACUAACUAUGUAUAUUCUAGUCAUGAGUUCAAAGGACUGAAGUUACCUGCUACGUUAGCCGGCAAAAUGCAUUGAGGAAUGCUGGCGAUCAAGCUCCCACCUGUUCACUUACCUGCACUUUGAGAAGUGUGAGGAAUGAGCCAAACUGUGUGGCCCCUAGCACUAUAGAGGUAGUCAUUACUCACGCCUGCUCUCAUAGGUCUGCAAGUGUUCUAGUAGGAAGUCAUCAAAGCCUUAGGGGAAGAGCUCUUUAAAGACAGUCCCCUCAGAGUACCCAGCUGUCUUGGGAUCUGGAGGACUGACAGCCCCUGGCUGCCCACGUCUUCUAGGAUAGUUGUUCUUUCACACUAGCUGUCUGGACACCUGGAUUUGGUGAGUUCUUCAGUCCCAGAGUGGGGAAAGACUCUUCCCAAGGUGUGCUGGAGAAAGAGGAAGGGCCGUACUAUACUAACUUGCAUUUCCAUUUCCCUAGCCUAGACUGUAUUUGCUGCUUCCAGCCAUCUGUCUUUCAAAACAUAACAGCUCUAGAUCGCCUUCUGUGGCCCAGUGGUUAAAUAGCCACCCAGGCCACUUUUGCUAAGAACCUAGGUUCCAUUCCCAGCACCUACAUGGCAGGUUGCAGUUGUUUCUAAGUCUAAUUCUAGGGAAUACAACAUACAUGCACACAAAACACCAAUGCACUAAAAGCAAAUAAAAACCUUUUAAAAUGAAUAAAAGAGAAAAAAGACAUUAAAAAACAAAGACUACUUUCUAUGCCCUCAUGGGUCUCAGAGCUGUGCUGCAAUUUCUGGAACCUAUGUUUUCUUUUAAAAUUUUAUAUAAAUAGAUAGAUAGGUAGGUUGGUUGGUUUGUCUGUAUAGCUGUGGAUGUCUUGGAACUUGCUAAGUAUGUAGACCAAGCUGGCCUCCAACUCAAGAGAUCUGCCUACCUCUGCGUGCUGAGAUUAAAGACACAUGCCACC
rnacentral:lncRNA from 1 species